rnacentral:rRNA from 1 species
UUUGAAGUCUUAGUGGCGCAGCUAACGCACUAAGUUGACCGCCUGGGGAGUACGGCCGCAAGGUUAAAACUCAAAUGAAUUGACGGGGGCCCGCACAAGCGGUGGAGCAUGUGGUUUAAUUCGACGCAACGCGAAGAACCUUACCUGGCCUUGACAUGCAGAGAACUUUCCAGAGAUGGAUUGGUGCCUUCGGGAACUCUGACACAGGUGCUGCAUGGCCGUCGUCAGCUCGUGUCGUGAGAUGUUGGGUUAAGUCCCGUAACGAGCGCAACCCCUAUCCCUAGUUGCUAGCAGUUCGGCUGAGAACUCUAGGGAGACUGCCGGUGACAAACCGGAGGAAGGUGGGGAUGACGUCAGGUCAUCAUGGCCCUUACGGCCAGGGCUACACACGUGCUACAAUGGUGCGUACAGAGGGCUGCAAACCCGCGAGGGGGAGCUAAUCUCACAAAACGCAUCGUAGUCCGGAUCGGAGUCUGCAACUCGACUCCGUGAAGUCGGAAUCGCUAGUAAUCGCGAAUCAGAAUGUCGCGGUGAAUACGUUCCCGGGCCUUGUACACACCGCCCGUCACACCAUGGGAGUGGAUUGCACCAGAAGUGGUUAGUCUAACCUUCGGGAGGACGAU